UACGUAGGUGACAAGCGUUGUUCGGAAUUACUGGGCGUAAAGGGCGCGUAGGCGGCCUUCUAAGUCGAACGUGAAAUCCCCGGGCUCAACCCGGGAACUGCGUCCGAUACUGGAAGGCUUGAAUCCGGGAGAGGGAUGCGGAAUUCCAGGUGUAGCGGUGAAAUGACGUAGAUAUCUGGAGGAACACCGGUGGCGAAGGCGGCAUCCUGGACCGGCAUUGACGCUGAGGCGCGAAAGCCAGGGGAGCAAACGGG
rnacentral:rRNA from 1 species